rnacentral:tmRNA from 1 species
GGGGGCGACCUGGCUUCGACGUGGGUUGCGAACCCUGAGGUGCAUGCCGAGGUGCAAAGCCCUCGUAAAACACUCUGCAAACUUUUAGUUGCCAACGACGACAACUACGCACUCGCUGCUUAAUACCCAGUAGGGUGCCGUCUGACCGGGGCCGUGCUUGUGCGCCCGGGCCUUCCGAGCAAUCGGGGGCAUCAGGCGUCGAUUCUCACAAGAUCGCGGUGCGGUUCUCCCAGGGCCAAUCCUCUAAAACUAACUGGGAUCGCCGUUUGUUUUCCCUGCCCGUCGGGUAGCAGGCGGUUAAACUAAUAGACUGGAUAAGCAUGUAGAGCCAAAGGCAGAGGACUUACGGACGCGGGUUCGAUUCCCGCCGCCUCCACCA